rnacentral:tRNA from 1 species
GGGGAGAUACCCGAGUGGCCAAAGGGGACUGACUGUAAAUCAGUUGCGGAAUGCUUCAGAGGUUCGAAUCCUCUUCUCCCCA